GUUUGUGGGACUUCUAUGGAGGAAGAGGAUGGGAUGAGUUUUUUAUUGGGAAAAUGGAAGAAUGGAGGAUGAUGUUUGAAAGUGGAGGAAUAAACAAUUGGAAGUGGAAUGAUGAAAUGAAGUGGUAUUUUGAUGGAAGAGAACAAAAGGAGGAGAAUAAACAAAGGGAGAAAUGGAGAAGAUGCUUCUCUGGAAGAGUUUUUUAAGGGAAUUGAUGGAUGUGGUGUUUGGUGGAGGAAAAAGAAGGAAACUUUCACAUGGAGUUGUCUGGAAUGGAGAAAACAAACGAGGAGGAU
rnacentral:lncRNA from 1 species